UACGUAGGGGGGCAAGCGUUGUCCGGAUUUAUUGGGCGUAAAGCGCGUGUAGGCGGCCCGGUAAGUCCGCUGUGAAAGUCGGGGGGCUCAACCCUCGGAUGCCGGUGGAUACUGUCGGGCUAGAGUGCGGAAGAGGCGAGUGGAAUUCCUGGUGUAGCGGUGAAAUGCGCAGAUAUCAGGAGGAACACCUAUUGCGAAGGCAGCUCGCUGGGACGUAACUGACGCUGAGACGCGAAAGCGUGGGGAGCAAACAGG
rnacentral:rRNA from 1 species